AAUCCAUGAUGAGGGCAUUUUCUCAAUAGAUCUUUCUAUCUCUCCCAUGCAUCAUAAAGUGUUUCUAAAUCUCUCUGCACAAAAGAAGAGAUAUCAUUCCAUAAU
rfam:Gossypium arboreum cultivar AKA8401 contig_9903_5, whole genome shotgun sequence.